rnacentral:rRNA from 1 species
AGUGAACGCUGGCGGUAGGCCUAACACAUGCAAGUCGAACGGCAGCACAGUAAGAGCUUGCUCUUACGGUUGGCGAGUGGCGGACGGGUGAGGAAUACAUCGGAAUCUACUUUUUCGUGGGGGAUAACGUAGGGAAACUUACGCUAAUACCGCAUACGACCUACGGGUGAAAGCAGGGGAUCUUCGGACCUUGCGCGAUUGAAUGAGCCGAUGUCGGAUUAGCUAGUUGGCGGGGUAAAGGCCCACCAAGGCGACGAUCCGUAGCUGGUCUGAGAGGAUGAUCAGCCACACUGGAACUGAGACACGGUCCAGACUCCUACGGGAGGCAGCAGUGGGGAAUAUUGGACAAUGGGCGCAAGCCUGAUCCAGCCAUACCGCGUGGGUGAAGAAGGCCUUCGGGUUGUAAAGCCCUUUUGUUGGGAAAGAAAAGCAGCAGGUUAAUACCCCGCUGUUCUGACGGUACCCAAAGAGUAAGCACCGGCUAACUUCGUG